AUACUUACCUGGCAGGGGAGAUACCAUGAUCAAGAAGAUGGUUUUCCCAUGGCGAAGCUUAUCCAUUGCACUCCGAGUGUGCUGACCCCUGCGAUUUCCCCAAAUGUGGGAAACUCAACUGCAUAAUUUGUGGUCGUGGAGGACUGCAUUCACACUCUCCCCUA
rnacentral:snRNA from 1 species